rnacentral:rRNA from 1 species
CACAAGCGGUGGAUGAUGUGGAUUAAUUCGAUGCAACGCGAAAAACCUUACCUACCCUUGACAUGUCCGGAAUCCCGAAGAGAUUUGGGAGUGCUCGCAAGAGAGCCGGAACACAGGUGCUGCAUGGCUGUCGUCAGCUCGUGUCGUGAGAUGCUGGGUUAAGUCCCGCAACGAGCGCAACCCUUGUCAUUAGUUGCCAUCAUUUGGUUGGGCACUCUAAUGAGACUGCCGGUGACAAACCGGAGGAAGGUGGGGAUGACGUCAAGUCCUCAUGGCCCUUAUGGGUAGGGCUUCACACGUCAUACAAUGGUCGGUACAGAGGGUUGCCAACCCGCGAGGGGGAGCUAAUCCCACAAAGCCGAUCGUAGUCCGGAUCGCAGUCUGCAACUCGACUGCGUGAAGUCGGAAUCGCUAGUAAUCGUGGAUCAGCAUGUCACGGUGAAUACGUUCCCGGGUCUU